GCCGGGCGCGGUGGCGCGUGCCUGUAGUCCCAGCUACUUGGGAGGCUGAGGCUAGAGGAUUGCUUGAGCCCAGGAGUUCUGGGCUGUAGUUUGCUAUGCCAAUUGGGCGUCCGCACUAAGUUCAGCAUCAAUAUAGUGACCUCCCGGGAGCGGGGGACCACCAGAUUGCCUAAGGAGGGGUGAACCGGCCCAGGUCGGAAACAGAGCAGGUCAAAACUCCCAUGCUGAUCAGUAGUGGGAUCCUGCCUGUGAAUAGCCACUGCAGUCCAGCCUGGGCAACAUAGCGAGACCCCGUCUGU
rnacentral:SRP_RNA from 1 species